rnacentral:tRNA from 1 species
GCAGAAUUAACUCAGCUGGUUUAGAGUGCGAUCCUUACAAGAUCGAAGUCGGGGGUCCGAAUCCCUCAUUCUGCACCA